UGACUGAUGUAUGACCUAAUCUAUUCUUUGUACUAAGUCUAAGUUUGGGAAGUCCCAAAUAAUCUAUCUUUUUAUCUUUUUUUUCAUCACAUCACCUCUCUACUUUUCUGCACAUCUUUUCGUAAAAAGACAAAAAGUACACUUAUUUAGGUCAUCCCAAACAACCCCUAAAUUCAUAGAUGGCUUCUCCAUAAAUUGAUCCUAUCAAUUGGAAAAGCGGACUAUGCUUCUUGGUUGUCCGGCAGUCAUGUAUUUUAAAUUAUCCACAAAACAUACAAGAGAUACAGAUUGUUAAUCAAAUAUCAUCGAUUUGUUUAAAUAUUGUAUAAUUCAAUCUAAGCAUGAUUGAACUGUCUAAUGGGUUACACAUCAACAAAAUUUUCUUGUAUCAA